rnacentral:rRNA from 1 species
GUGAGGAAUAUUGGUCAAUGGACGUAAGUCUGAACCAGCCAAGUAGCGUGCAGGAUGACUGCCCUAUGGGUUGUAAACUGCUUUUAUGCGGGGAUAAAGUCAGCCACGUGUGGUUGUUUGCAGGUACCGCAUGAAUAAGGACCGGCUAAUUCCGUGCCAGCAGCCGCGGUAAUACGGAAGGUCCAGGCGUUAUCCGGAUUUAUUGGGUUUAAAGGGAGCGUAGGCUGUUGGUUAAGCGUGUUGUGAAAUGUAGAUGCUCAACAUCUGAAUUGCAGCGCGAACUGUCCGACUUGAGUGCGCGGAAAGCAGGCGGAAUUCGUUGUGUAGCGGUGAAAUGCUUAGAUAUGACGAAGAACUCCGAUUGCGAAGGCAGCUUGCUGUAGCGUAACUGACGCUGAAGCUCGAAAGUGCGGGUAUCGAACAGGAUUAGAAACCCUGGUAGUCC